rnacentral:rRNA from 1 species
GACGAACGCUGGCGGCGUGCUUAACACAUGCAAGUCGAACGGACAGGCCCUGAUCUUGCGGGGCGCUCGAGUGGCGAACGGGUGAGUAACACGUGUGUAACCUGCCCCUGUCAUUGGGAUAACUCCACGAAACUGCGGCUCAUAUCGCAUAGGAGAUCCUGCUGCAUGGUGUGGGAUGGAAAGUUUCGGCGGUUGGGGCUCGUCUCGCGGCUUCUCAGCUUGUUGGUGGGGUAGUGGCUUACCAAGGCUUUGACGGAUAGCCGGCCUUGGAGGGUGACCGGCCACAUGGGGACUAAGGUAGGGCCCAGACUCCUACGGGAGGCAGCAGUGGGGAAUAUUGCGCAAUGGGCGGGAGCCUGAUGCAGCAACGCCGCGUGCGGGAUGACGGCCUUCGGGUUGUAAACCGCUUUCGCCGGUGACGAAGCGGGAGUGACGGUAAUGAGUAAAGAAGCACCGGCUAACUACGUG